GAGGGUAUAGCUCAGUGGUAGAGCACACUCCCAGCAUGCACAAGGUUCUGGGUUCAAUCCCCAGUACUUCCA
rnacentral:tRNA from 1 species